GAUAGAGGCGGUGGAGGGGCGGGACGGGCUCUGCCGCGGUUCCGGCCCGGCCCGGGCCCUGCCCGUGAGCGGGCUGCCGCCCUUUUCCGUGCUCUCGUUGCUGUUUCUGACCCUGCCGCUGCCCCUGUCCUGUGCCUUUCGCCUGUCCCUAUGACUUUCCCUGACCCUGCCUUUUCCGUGCCGCUGGAAGGCCGCUCACUGUCCUGCAGGCUGCCGCACGGCGCUGGGAAAACUACACCGUGUCUGUGUGUGUCUGUCUGUGUGUCUGUCUGUGUGUGUGUCUGUGUGUCUGUCUGUGUGUGUGUCUGUCUGUGUGUGUGUCUGUCUGUGUGUGUGUCUGUCUGUGUGUGUGUGUCUGUGUGUGUCUGUGUGUGUGUGUGUGUCUGUGUGUGUGUCUGUGUGUCUGUGUGUGUCUGUGUGUGUGUAUACACGAUCCUUUAGUCCUAAGAGCUCCUCGGGUGCUGUCUAGGGUGUUUUAGCAGCUUGGCUGUCAUCUGGGAAUGGAAGCUAGCAUAUAAUGAGGUUAAAAUGUGCCUUCGUUGUAGUCCUACUUUUUUACCCAUAGAUUGGCUAUUUAGCUCUUCCUCCAAACAGGAGGCGCUGACUUUCUUUGGGGGUUGUAGGUGUAAAGUCUGCUAGAAAAAACACGCCAGGAAAACUUUCAAUUAAAUUGGAAGGCAGGGGACCUGUUGCUGUGUGUUGUUCAUUUAAUAAAGGUGUUAUUGCUGUGGCCAAAGGGAUAAUACUAGUAUGUUGCUCCACAACAGUUGUCACCAGAUAGAAGAAAAAAAAUCAUGGAUUUCACUCCUUUUCGUGUAAUCAAAUGUUUCUGUAUAAUGCUAAGGCCUAUGAAAUUUAGUCCCUGUUACAUGGGAUGAUAAAAGUCAAAAAUACAAAAUGAGAGAACUCCCAGUGAUAGCUCUUUACCUGGCACCCUUUUGAGGUUAUCAGCAAUAAAGCCAAGGGCCACUGGUCCCUUCUGAGAUAGGGUCCUGCAGACUUGGGCUGGUGCACAUGCCUAAGAUUAGACCAGGGAGUUUCAUGUAAAAGUAUCCUUUUCUUUCAUAAGGUUAUUUUUCCUGGUGUGUUUCUGGCUGAGAAACCGACAUAUUUCUCAGUUUGUGCAUCCUGGAUCAACACAAAAAGGCAGAAUUAAUGCCUUCCUCCUGUUACCCCUCUGUUGUCUCAUAAGGUGUGCUUUGAAAAGGUGACUUUGGUUUGUUGCAUGCCUUGGGCUAGAAACUGAUGUCUCAAGCCUUGUGUAAGAUGUAAUUCAGGUGCAAUCUUAUUUCUCUUUACAAGUAAUAAGUUAUUCUUGUUUCAUGUUUUCCUCAACAUAAUAAGGUGCAUUAUUAGGUCCAUUCCUCAAACAGAACUUCACAUUUCUUUAAGAUUUUAUGAUCUGGAACUUUGCAUAAAUGAUAAUGAGAGAUCAUCUCCCACAUGGGCAAUUCUUACCUAAUAUCAGUAAUAGCAGCAAUCUAUAUGAGGGUAAUUGAAGUUAUUUUGAUUCAAAUAUGACUGAUCUGGGAUCAGUAUGAUACCCUAAUUAUAAUAUGGCUAUCAUUGUUAAGAUUUCUGUCUGUGUGGAAGACAUGAUGUAAAGGAAGCUCUAAAUAAACAAGGGACAAGUGAUUUUGGUGCCCUUUCACAUGUCACUCAAACACGUGGAACUGAUGAUGAGUCUCAGUGUUCUACCUGUACCUUACUGUGUGUUAAUGUAUGUUGUAUUUGAAGAUUGUUUUUUAAAAAAUGGUGUAAGACAGCAUGGCUGUGUCUAUUGACAAACAAGCCCAUGCUGAAGCCAUUUGCAAAAGAGGAAUGCAAUUAGUUUAGAGGAACAGUAUAUUUCUUAUCUAUUUGAUCCAAAGUCUUCUUGAUUGUUUUUCAGAUUACUACCUGUGUGUUUCUGUAAAAUUGUUUACAUCUGGCUCGCAAGAGGCUUUUCUUGUAGUAGUAGCGUGAUUGCUUUUUCUCUCCCCUGUGGUUGUCCUUGACACAAGUGGAGAACUACACAUGCAGACUAAAGUAUAAUUCUCAUUAAGGCCUUUUCCCUGUCUCUAGGCAAACACAACUCUAACACUACUGUUUGAUAUCUAUGCGAUAAAACCUCACAGCCAUGUUAUGACCUGAAGUGGGAAAUACAACUUACUACAACAGAAGAGUAGUUUCUCAUGUUUACUUAUGCUAAGAAUAAAGUAAUUCACAUGAAGUAAGUCUUGUUAGGUGUGUGAAGGUGCUUUAGAUCCUGCUACAAAAAUCAAAAUGCAGAAAGGUUUCAGGGUUUUGUCCUUCUGGAGCAAGCCAUUCCUGUAAAAUCAACAGAAGCUCAAGAAGAAGCCCCUGACUGUCCCAUUGUCUUGAUAGAUUGUAAAUCCAUCAAGUGUUUCAAUCACAGAGACUGACUGUCCUGAUACUAAUUUUAUGUGUGUGUCUAUUCUAAUAAUAAUAAUAAUAAUAAUAUUAGAACAAAUACUCAAGGGACCAAAGUGGAAAGUAGGUCUGCAUCUAUCUCCUUUCUCGUCUAUCAUUUGUCCAUUCUUCUGAUUCCUUUGCUGUCCUUCCUCCAUUCCUUUCUGUAAGGGUAGAUUUUGAUUACUGUCCCAGGUGUAAAUAGUAAAUCUAUUCUAUCAUUCAGCCACCCUGCUAUAGUUUGUUUUUCAUCUCCCACUUUAUGCAAUAAAAUUUGAAUUAAUUCAUUUUGUGUCUUCAGAAAAUAGGCAAGUAAAUAUUUAUCUUGGAUAUUUUUCAGGAUACUAAAGAUGCUAGUUUUAUGUCAUGCCACCUAGCUUUCUCUCCCUUAUAAAUUUAAGGAUCUCCUCUACUGGUAUUUCUUUCUACUCCAUAAUUUCUUGUAUAUUGUGGGUACACAUUUGAGAAGAAAAUUUUUUUUUCUUUUCUGAUUUGAAUAAUUUGUUAGGAUCAGUCAUGAUGCUUUAGUUUCUUCACCAUAAUUUUCUUGUUUCUUAUAGGAGUCUAGUUUUCUAGUUACCUUCAACAGAACACAAUAAUGUAAAGUUUCUCUUGUUAGAUAGUCAUCUUCAGGCUUCAUAUUGAGCAUUCUUGUAAGAUGGGAAAAAGGCAAAUGGACACUGGGUGGCAGAUGAGUGCUAUUGUUGAGGUUACUGAUUAUGGAGCAUUCAUGUAGGUUCUAAAACUGCAGACUAUUUACUAAAAUUGGUUAUUAUUCUGUUACAGCAAAUUCAAAAUAUACUCAAUGUUCCCUGUGUAACAAAUAUUUUUUGUACAUUUAGUAUUUAUUUUUCAAGAUAUUUUGCUUCAGAUAGUUAUCUUUCCAUUUCCUUUUUGCUUUAUGCUUUGAAGAGUUGCUGAUAUAUUAAAGGGUAAUUUGUGAUAUUAUUCCUGGUUCAAAAACAUCAGUGAUACUGAAGAAGGAGGAUGCAAAGACUAAAUUGAUAUAAUCUAUUGUUAGCUCUAAAUAAAAGCCUAAACAAGGCAAAAAAAGAGGGUGAUCUGGCUUAGUACAAAGACUGCUCAUUUUCUUGUAUGAUUACUUUCGUACAAGCUUUGUGGAUAUCGUGGUGUCAGAUAACUAGGUGUAGUGUAUAAAGCUUGUUUGUGCCCUUGGUAUAGCAUAUUUUUUUCUGUAUGUCAGGACAGAAAAGACUGAUCAGUAAUACCUCUAAAAGGGAUGACACUCUUUAAAAUAAUGCCAAAGGAUUUAAUAAUAUCACCAGCAUAUUCUGGCCCUUUAGAAUAUCUAUUCUUUAUUCUGCAUAAUAGUGACAUAUUCUUCAUCCAUCAAAUAUAAUCUGUUUUCAUUCUUGUUGUUUGGCUCUGCAAAAAUAUGCAGCUUUGAGAUUUGGCUUACUUACUGUACUGUGGGGUAUAAUAUCUUCUUUCAACUUCUUACAUUUAAAAUAUAUUGACAAAAGUAAAAUGUAUGCCUCACAAGAGGAACCAGUGCCUACUUAUGUCCUUGGUACAGCAAAAGUCAGACUUCAUAUGGGAAAAUUUAGUAUUGCCUUCUUUUUGGAGUGUCAAAAGCUCACAAAAGCUUUUCCUUAGUUGUUGUAAAGCUGGGAUCCAUUAGAAAGGCAGAAAAACAGUGUGACUAAGAAAGAUAAAAUUUGGAAUAUGAUCAAAUAUGGUAGUCUCAUUAUUAACUUCUGCUGAAAAUUGUCAGCCUUCUAGCAUGGUUUGCAGGGUUUGUUUUUCUUCUGAUUAGAAGUGAACAUGUCCUGUUUCUAUAAAGGCACGGAGCAUGUCCAAGUGAAGGCAGCAGCAGCUUUUAUAGCAGAAUAUCCAUUAGUGUCACACCUCAGGAGGGCAAAACCCCUGCUAUAAGUUUCUAAGCCAGAUACUUGACAGUGUGCCAUAUAGCUUGCCUCCUGGGCUGGGAGCUUAUUGAAGUAUUUUCUCUGUCUGGCUGUGCCACCUGUGUGGAGCAGCACUGAUCUCCUUUACUCAGAACACAGUUAAUAGGCUUCUGAAGGAAGAAAAGAGCUAAGGGCAGUGUGGUGUAGGGCUUAGCAAUACUGUACUAUGAUAACCCAGGACAAUUCAUCUCCCUCAUUUAAGUAUGUACAAUCCCAGGCACAUUAUAUCUGGUCAUGGUAACCUGGGGUACCUUACUUCUUCCCAUCUGCAUAUGCAGAGUCACACAUAUGCUUUAUGUUAUAAAACAUAAGGCAUGUUUUCUCUUGUGAAAGUAACUGGGAUAGCUUGCUUCCUCAUCACCUGCACUCAGCUUUGCACAGCUACCAGUGUGAAGGCCAGAUGCCAGUCUUUGAAGUCAGACAAAAGCAGUGAGAUCCUAGAACAAAACAGAAAUUUGCACAUAUAUGUAAGGCAAGUCAGUUAAUCGGUGCAAUUUUUAUUAUCCACCCCUGCAGUGCUACCCUUUGAGGUGUACUCCCAUGCAGUUCUACUGGUCCCCCAUUUGAUUAGGGUUUGUGUACUGGUAAUGCCAUGUUCUCAUCAAAGCCAAAGUUGUUGAGUGUUGUGCCUUGUCACUGAGAGACUAGCAUCACCAUUUUGCUUGUAAUACAUGGAUACUUACACCCUCCUUUUGUAGGACACUGCUUGCAUGCUGUACUGUUUGCUGGCCAAAUUACACAAUGUUCAUUUACUACAUUCUGGCUCUCUGGAGGAAAUACAUUUUGAAAAUUAUGGUGAUUGUCUUCCAACACUACCAUGUGAUGUCUGCUAAACAAACAUUAGAAUGCUGUAAUUUCAUAUAAUUUUUUUUUUAUUUUAUUCCUGCAGUAGGCAGUUUAGAUUUUUUAAUUCUUUUCCCUGUGUGAGACAACCUGUAAUUGUACUAAAAGCAUCAAGAAAUCAAGAUCAACAUUUAGUAAUCUGUGUAUAAACACAUGCCUUAUACAUAUUUUAUAAAAUAUGCAUUAGCAUGACAUCCUCUGUCACAACUCUGGACAUUCUCUACAACCCAAAUAAGUAGUGUGUUGUAAAUGUGCUUGCCACAGUAGUGUGCCUUCAAAUCUUGUAGUUGUGUCCAUCCCCAACAUAUUUUGACUUCUCUGUGAUGCUUUGAAAGUUAAUAACAGCAUCAAAUAACUGCUGUUAUAAUUAGUAAUAAUUUUGUUAUAAUAAUAAUAAUAAGUGCUCUGCUAAACCAAAUCUUUCAAAACCAGGGUAAACAUAAGUGGUUUUCCAAUCUCCUAUCCUCUUCAUUUCCUGUUCAGAAAACAAAGUAACCAGAUGCAGCAAAGUAAGAGUUCUGGGGAUAUAGUGAAUAAGCCAUUUUCUGUAGAUAUAGUUAUUCUUUUACUCAAGCAGGCAACAAACUCCUGGUGUUGUUGUAUAUACAAAUAUACUGUAUUCAAAUGUAUAUGUAUACAAAUAUAUUGUAUUCCUAUAUACAAAUACAGGACCAAAUGGUUUGGGCUUGCUGUA